AUCCCGCUGUAAACCCAUGCAGCCUUGUCUGGAAACAGGCAAGUGAAUAACCAGGUGAACUCAGGGAAGCCUAAGUCCUCAUAAAGGAUAAGGUAAUCCUGAGCCAAGUUCCGACCAUAAAUCGGAAAAGGUGCAGAGACUAGAACGUAAAGUUCGUACUCUAUGAAUUAGGGGAAGCGCCUGGCUCCGUAAAGAAAAAUUAUUUUCUUCGGAGAUGAUAUAGUCCAAGCCUUAAGGAAACUUAAGG
rnacentral:ncRNA from 1 species